rnacentral:rRNA from 1 species
AUUGAACGCUGGCGGCAUGCCCUACACAUGCAAGUCGAACGGUAACAGGUCUUCGGAUGCUGACGAGUGGCGAACGGGUGAGUAAUACAUCGGAACGUGCCUAGUAGUGGGGGAUAACUACUCGAAAGAGUGGCUAAUACCGCAUGAGAUCUACGGAUGAAAGCAGGGGAUCGCAAGACCUUGUGCUACUAGAGCGGCCGAUGGCAGAUGAGGUAGUUGGUGGGAUAAAAGCUUACCAAGCCGACGAUCUGUAGCUGGUCUGAGAGGAAGAUCAGCCACACUGGGACUGAGACACGGCCCAGACUCCUGCGGGAGGCAGCAGUGGGGAAUUUUGGACAAUGGGCGAAAGCCUGAUCCAGCCAUGCCGCGUGCAGGAUGAAGGCCUUCGGGUUGUAAACUGCUUUUGUACGGAACGAAAAGCCCCGGGUUAAUACCCUGGGGUCAUGACGGUACCGUAAGAAUAAGCACCGGCUAACUACGUGCCAGCCGCCGCCGCAG